rnacentral:rRNA from 1 species
CCUACGGGGGGCAGCAGUGAGGAAUAUUGGUCAAUGGGCGCGAGCCUGAACCAGCCAAGUAGCGUGAAGGAUGACUGCCCUACGGGUUGUAAACUUCUUUUAUAAAGGAAUAAAGUGAGGCACGUGUGCCUUUUUGUAUGUACUUUAUGAAUAAGGAUCGGCUAACUCCGUGCCAGCAGCCGCGGUAAUACGGAGGAUCCGAGCGUUAUCCGGAUUUAUUGGGUUUAAAGGGAGCGUAGAUGGGUUGUUAAGUCAGUUGUGAAAGUUUGCGGCUCAACCGUAAAAUUGCAAUUGAUACUGGCAGCCUUGAGUGCAGUAGAGGGAGGCGGAAUGCGUGGUGUAGCGGUGAAAUGCGUAGAUAUCACGAAGAACUCCGAUUGCGAAGGCAGCUUACUAGACUGCCACUGACAUUGAUGCUCGAAAGUGUGGGUAUCAAACAGGAUUAGAUACCCCGGUAGUC